GUGGGGAAUAUUGGACAAUGGGCGGAAGCCUGAUCCAGCAACGCCGCGUGAGGGAUGACGGCCUUCGGGUUGUAAACCUCUUUCAGUACCGACGAAGCGCAAGUGACGGUAGGUACAGAAGAAGCACCGGCCAACUACGUGCCAGCAGCCGCGGUAAUACGUAGGGUGCGAGCGUUGUCCGGAAUUAUUGGGCGUAAAGGGCUCGUAGGCGGUUUGUCGCGUCGGGAGUGAAAACGCCGUGCUUAACACGGCGCUUGCUUUCGAUACGGGCAGACUGGAGGUAUGCAGGGGAGAACGGAAUUCCUGGUGUAGCGGUGAAAUGCGCAGAUAUCAGGAGGAACACCGGUGGCGAAGGCGGUUCUCUGGGCAUUACCUGACGCUGAGGAGCGAAAGUGUGGGGAGCGAACAGGAUUAGAUACCCUUGUAGUCC
rnacentral:rRNA from 1 species